CAGCGUCACAAGUGGCAACCGUAUUUAUUGGGUCUAAAGCGUCCGUAGCCUGUUUGAUAAGUCUUUUGUGAAAUCGUUGCGCUUACGUAACGCUGUGCAAGAGAUACUGUCAGACUUGGAAUUGGGAAGAGUCAGAGGUAUUCUGGGGGGAGCGGUAAAAUGCUAUAAUCCUCAGAGGACCACCAGUGGCGAAAGCGUCUGACUAGAACAACUUCGACGGUGAGGGACGAAAGCCAGGGGAGCAAAACGGAUUAGAUACCCGAGUAGUCC
rnacentral:rRNA from 1 species